rnacentral:rRNA from 1 species
GGUAGUCCACGCCGUAAACGAUGUCGACUUGGAGGUUGUGCCCUUGAGGCGUGGCUUCCGAAGCUAACGCGUUAAGUCGACCGCCUGGGGAGUACGGCCGCAAGGUUAAAACUCAAAUGAAUUGACGGGGGCCCGCACAAGCGGUGGAGCAUGUGGUUUAAUUCGAUGCAACGCGAAGAACCUUACCUACUCUUGACAUCCAGAGAACUUAGCAGAGAUGCUUUGGUGCCUUCGGGAACUCUGAGACAGGUGCUGCAUGGCUGUCGUCAGCUCGUGUUGUGAAAUGUUGGGUUAAGUCCCGCAACGAGCGCAACCCUUAUCCUUUGUUGCCAGCGGUUAGGCCGGGAACUCAAAGGAGACUGCCAGUGAUAAACUGGAGGAAGGUGGGGAUGACGUCAAGUCAUCAUGGCCCUUACGAGUAGGGCUACACACGUGCUACAAUGGCGCAUACAAAGAGAAGCGACCUCGCGAGAGCAAGCGGACCUCAUAAAGUGCGUCGUAGUCCGGAUUGGAGUCUGCAACUCGACUCCAUGAAGUCGGAAUCGCUAGUAAUCGUAGAUCAGAAUGCUACGGUGAAUACGUUCCCGGGCCUUGUACACACCGCCCGUCACACCAUGGGAGUGGGUUGCAAAAGAAGUAGGUAGCUUAACCUUCGGGAGGGCGCUUACCACUUUGUGAUUCAUGACUGGGGUGAAGUCGUAACAAGGUAACCGUAGGGGAACCUGC